rnacentral:piRNA from 1 species
UAGACUCAAAGUCCUCAUUGAG